rnacentral:rRNA from 1 species
UACGAAGGGGGCUAGCGUUGCUCGGAAUCACUGGGCGUAAAGCGCACGUAGGCGGCUUUUUAAGUCAGGGGUGAAAUCCUGGAGCUCAACUCCAAAACUGCCUUUGAUACUGGGAAGCUCGAGUCCGGGAGAGGUGAGUGGAACUCCGAGUGUAGAGGUGAAAUUCGUAGAUAUUCGGAAGAACACCAGUGGCGAAGGCGGCUCACUGGCCCGGUACUGACGCUGAGGUGCGAAAGCGUGGGGAGCAAACAGG